rnacentral:rRNA from 1 species
GACGAACGCUGGCGGCGUGCUUAACACAUGCAAGUCGAGCGGUAAGGCCCUUUCGGGGGUACACGAGCGGCGAACGGGUGAGUAACACGUGGGUGACCUGCCCUUAGCUCUGGGAUAAGCCUGGGAAACUGGGUCUAAUACCGGAUAUGACUCCAUGACGCAUGUUGUGGGGUGGAAAGCCUUGUGCGGCUAGGGGAUGGGCCCGCGGCCUAUCAGCUUGUUGGUGGGGUGAUGGCCACCAAGGCGACGACGGGUAGCCGGCCUGAGAGGGCGACCGGCCACACUGGGGACUGAGACACGGCCCAGACUCCUACGGGAGGCAGCAGUGGGGAAUCUUGCGCAAUGGGCGAAAGCCUGACGCAGCGACGCCGCGUGGGGAUGACGGCCUCGG